rnacentral:lncRNA from 1 species
AUGUUAAUACACAUGGAGGUGCAGACUAGUAGUUUGUGUGCAUUUCUCAAAAUAAUGAUCUUAUUUAUGUAUUUGUUUGAUUGUCAGGGUGUUCGUCUGAAGCACCGCGUGUUCCUUUUGAGGAACUGGGAGAGGGUCAGAGACAGACAGAUACGCCUGAGGAGGGGGAGAGAGGGGGAACGAGAGAAAGAUGGAGGAGGAGUUUCCAGCUAUGUAGCUACUGGGGACAACAACAGCCCAUCAUGUCAGGUCCAUGAAGCAAGUCGACAAAUGGCUGUGAAGAAGAAGGUUGUGUGGACUAGUGAGCCCCUUCGUGAUCCCCAGUGCCCCCAUAACCCCCUCAGCACCACGCCCCAUCUCACUGAGAACAGACCAGAGGAGAAAAAACAGGUGGAGGAGGAAGAGGAGGGCUGGAAGGAGGUCCGGAAGGAGCGACUGAACAACAUACUCCUGAAGCUGCUGCAGACAUGAUUGGUGAGAGAGGACAAGGAAGGAAGGAGGGGGGAAAUAUCAGCUCAGUAUCUCUUCUUCUUCCAAGUAGCUCAGUUCAGCUAACUUUGCACUAGUGUUGGGGGAAAACGCUUCCCUGAAAUGAUUUGUUAUAAAGAUGAUUUUGGGCUUUGUUUCUGAGAGGAAUGAGGGUGKAGUUGUUUACUGUACCAUUGAGAAUGAUUGACAGACAGUCAGCAGACCAGUGACAGUCUGAUUUAAUAGUCAGAGAGGGCGGAAGGGAUGGAUGGAGACCAUAGAGUCUUAAGGCUGGAUUAAAUUCGUAUUGUGGAAGAUCCGCGUUGUAGCUCCAUUUAAAUGUAAAGGACAUGUUCCCGUGUUCUCACAGACUACAUUCACGGUAAACGCUGCAUGUCGGCUCAAUCUGAAAUGACCAUGACAUUUUUUACCCCCUUUUUUGUGAUAUCCAAUUGGUAGUUACAGUCUUGCGUGAUCCAAAGCGUGAUCCAAGCCACGCUUCUUAACACCUGCUUGCUUAACCCGGAAUGUAUUCGAGGAAACACCGGCCAACUGAUGACUGUCAGCUUGCAGGUGCCUGGCCUGCCACAAGGAGUCGCUAGAGCGCGAUGAGCCAAGUAAAGGCUCCCCCGGGCCAAACCUUCUACCAACCCGGACAACCCUGUGCCAAUUGUUUGCCGCCCUAUGGGACUCCCGGUCACAGCCGGUUGUGACACAGCCUGGGAUCAAACCCUAGACUGUAGUAACACUGCGAUGCAGUGCCAUAGACGGCUGCACCACUUGGGAGGCCUACCUCUACAUUUAUAUGCAGAUCUUCUGCGAUACUGCCGCAAUACACAGCCCUUAGRGUUUGAUUCAAUCCCUGUUGCUGAAGUACGGCGCUACAGCGUGAUUCAAGUGUAAAGGUAAUUUCCAAUUGAGCCGACCUAUGCAGUUUUUCCGUGAAUUCAGUGUCCGCUAACGUGGKAACAUUUCAUGUUCUCUUCAGCUCUACGUAUUGAAUCGGCCUUUAAUGUAAAAGUGCCAUGUUGUAAAUAAACUGACGCCUGAGUGAGUUCAAUCUCCAAAAGCAAUACGUCCUGUAAGGAUUUCAGUACAAUAACUUUAAUAUCACUACCAGUACCAGCUAGAGACCCUUCUAUGUAUCAAACCAAGUAGUUUUUAUUGCCUUAGUGAAUAUGAUCAUUUCAAGAUCGUUAUAUUGUACCAAUGAUAAUGCAGUAACAUUGACCUAAGUAAUGUAAUGAAUCAGUUUCAUAAUUGAUAGUUAUUAUCUAAGCGUUAAAGUUAAUAGUCAAAGGCCUUCAUUUUGCUACAAAGUGUUAAACAUAACUGACCUAUGUUAAAUAUUGCUAUGAUUGUAUAUGACUUCUCUUCACCUGUAUACUUUUUCUGACUGAUGGAAUGUUCUUUUUUAUUUGGUCAGACAAUCAGGAAAAUGAAUUGAAUCUGAGAUUUGUAAUCGUUCAUUUGUACAGUUCUCUUUGGUGCAGUUUCUAGUUUGACUUUGAACACUAAGUUGAAUGUUUUAYAGUUGACCUGUGUAUUUGCMUCACUCRCUAUUGCCAAUGGGUGAUUAGGAAUAUUAUAGCAUUCAUCAAUAUAGUGAAGGGUUAUUUAUGUAGUUUGCAUGAAAUGUAACUUUGGGCUGGAUUCAAUCCAUAUCGCGGAAGAUCACAUCAAAGUGUAAAGGUUAUUUCCGAUUAAGCCGACAUUUGCAGUGUUUAUCUUGAAUUCAGUCUCCACGAACGCGGAAACAUUGCCUUUAAAUUUAAAUGGAGCUACAACGCAGAUCUCCCAUGAUACUUCUGCGAUGCGGUGAGAAUCCAGCCCUUUGUUGUACAAUUUAAAAUUGCUGCUUAUAACCUGUCUUUGGAGAAAAUACCACASAGUUCAUCUGACAGAAUGUCAUUUCAAACAUUGACCAUAUUAUCAAUAACAAUAAAAUGGUGUUUUUGUUUACAAAGCAUUGUGGACUUGUUAUAUUCUCAACCACUUAACCCUUCAUACUAUCACAGGCCCAUGAAUAUCGCUGCUCCUCCAGCCUUAUGGAGACGCUGCAUAACUGGUGGGAUAUUCAUUACAUGGAAUGGAGCGACUGCUAAAUAACCAACAUGGAAAUGUGAUAUACAGCACCAUCUGGUGGUGUAAAGCUGAAUGACACCAAUGGCCAGGUGAUACAUUUUCCUCCAUCACAACCCUCAUCUGAGGACGUGACCUCAAGAGGACAGACAGGCAGAACUGAGCCUGAGGCCCUUCUCUCCUCCUYCAGCAAAUCACUGAUCUGUAUGUGAUUAUAUGGGCUAUGUGUAGAUGGAGGCUGGUGGGAGGACCUAUAGGAGGAUGGGCAUAUUUUAAUGGCUGGAAUGGAAUUAAUGGGACGGUACUAAACAAACAUAUGGCAACCACUCCUUUCCAUCAAUUCCAUUCCAGCCAUUACAAUGAACCUAUCYGCCUAUAGCUCCUCCCACCAGCCUCCAYUGCAUGUGUGAGCUAAAGCUGCCUAGCCAAUCCCUCCCUCUCAGGUCUGUGGGUAUUUUAAUGAGGAAAUCAUUUAAUGUAUUCAAACAUGGAUAGYUUCUCAUUUCAGAGAGUCCUUCCCUCAUGCACUCCCCUUCACUGCUCUGACAGAAGUGGCUAGGUYCGAUGAAAACAUACACUAAGCUCUUUGAUUGGAAUGGCUUUAAUAUCGAGGUACCACAUACUUUCUAGGCAAGCAUUCGCUAUAGCUCGAUGGAAUAGAGCAGGGUUMUUCAACUYACCCUACGAGGUGAGAGUUGCUGCUGCUUUUCUCUUCUACCUGCUAAUGAAUUGUACCCACCUGGUGUCCCAGGUCUAAAUCAGUCCCUGAUUAGAGGGGAACAAUGACGAAACACAGUGGAACUGGCUUUGAGGUCCAGAGAGGAGUUUGAGGGGACUAGAGAAGGAAUGAGACACAUGAGAGACUGAGGUUUGGUUUAUGUUGAUUAUUUAUUGGGUAUUUACAAACAAGCACAUGCGGGAGUCAGACACUGACUGACGCUACAGGGACACAGUACACUAUGGAACAGUGAGGUACGGGGCAGGCUACAUCACACCAGAGAGAUACAGAACCCACUGCUACACACACAGACACAUGCUCGUUCGCUCCCACGUACGUACACACACACACACACACACACACAGAGGCUGCUGAGGGGAGGACGGCUCAUAAUAAUGGCUGGAACGGAGCUAAAUGAAUGGUAUCAAACACAUGGCAACCAGGUGUUUAAUGUAUCUGAUACCAUUCCACUUAUUCCUCUCCAGCCAUUACCACAAGCCCGUCCUCCCCAGUUAAGGUGCCACCAACCUCCUGUGAUACACACAAAACCCCAGAUAGAGAGAGAUAGACGUGAGGGGACAAAUACAACAGAGGUGUAUAUAUAUAUAUAUAUAUAUACACACCUUUCAGGGACUCCAGGGUCAAUAAAUACCACGUCCAAUAAAUGUACAGCUUUUCAUACAAAUCAAUGCAUUUAUCAUGGAUCCUCUCACACAAUGGAAAAUAUACCCGAAUAAAAGACAAAAAAUAACUAGAAAAUCCUUGUCAACAUACUGAGAUUGUUACCGUCACAGACCAUGUGUAUUUCCUGAAGUUAGGUUUACCCUUCACCUGCAUCUAGGCAUGGCACAUUGAAAGGUGGGCCUUGCUGACACUAACUAGCUCCUCCCUCAUACAGCCUAAUUUACUACAAGCUGCAAUUAAAAUACAUUAUAGAUAGCUCUAAAACGACUCAUGUCAAUUUACUGGCCGAAGAAAGUAGUUGUCUAGCUUGUUUUGCUGCCGUGACCCAGCUAAAGCCUUUAGAAGACCAGGGGUGUAGUGUGACUGGCCAUGACACACAGUGGCUCCACUGUUUGGUAAACAACUAUCUAUUGGAGCUACACAUUGUCUUGAGAYACGCAGCGAUUUGGAUUAGCUAGUUAGGUUGUUGACAUACUAGCAGGUGCCAUAUCAUUGCAUUUGCUGGAAGAUUUGGUAAAGUAGCCUGUAUAWUGCAAGUGCAAAGUUACAAUGUUUCCAAUCUAUUGUUGUCAUAGGGACACUAACCCUGUGCUACACCACAGAGGCUUGAUGGCAUGGUAACCUUUUAUAUUUUUUCUGACCAAUCAAAAGAGCGAUAUUCCCAUUAAAUUUGAAUUCCUCAAGUAACCUGAACUCUUCAAGAAGUGCCAUGUCACCCGCAAGUGACAAAACAACAAAAAAAACAGCAAACAAACAGUUCCUUUAAACCAGAAGCCUUUGAGAAGUACAUCAUAUGCAUCAUCAUUACCAAGCCUACAGAAUAACUACCAACCAAAUCAGAAGAUAAACAUAGUAAUAAACAUUAUUACUUUAACGUUAUUCUACCACCACUAUCGUUACUACGGUAUUAAAAAUGAUGACCUUACACGGGUUAGCAUGACAGGUAGGGAAAGAAGGAAGGUACAUAUGAGAGCUGAGGUAUGGUUGGGGGAAGGGCAGCCUCUCCCUCAAACACAUAGGCUUGACAGUUGUGGUGUCUUCAUACACAUACAGUACAUCAGGGAGUAGCUUACUGCUUCAUCUGAAAGCUUGGAUAGUCUCAGUCAGGAACAUACAACUAUGGCC